GAUGAACGCUGACAGAAUGCUUAACACAUGCAAGUCAACUGUGGCGGACGGGUGAGUAACGCGUAAAGAACUUGCCUCACGGAUAGGGACAACAUUUGGAAACGAAUGCUAAUACCUGAUACUGUGAGAGAGCUUUGCGUCCCAUUAGCUAGUUGGAGAGGUAACGGCUCACCAAGGCGAUGAUGGGUAGCCGGCCUGAGAGGGGGAUUGGCCACAAGGGGACUGAGACACUGCCCUUACUCCUACGUGAGGCAGCGGUGGGGAAUAUUGGACGAUUGACCAAAGUCUGAUCCAGCAAUUCUGUGUGCUCGAUGAAGUUUUCGGAAUGUAAAGUGCUUUCAGUUGGGAAGCGGUACCAACAGAAGAAGUGACGGCUAAAUACGUGCCAGCCGCCGCGGUAAUUC
rnacentral:rRNA from 1 species